UACGAAGGGUGCAAACGUUGCUCGGAAUCAUUGGGCGUAAAGCGCACGUAGGCGGCUUGCCAAGUCGGACGUGAAAUCCCUCAGCUCAACUGAGGACGUGCAUCCGAAACUGGCGAGCUUGAGUACUGAAGAGGAUCGCGGAAUUCCCGGUGUAGAGGUGAAAUGCGUAGAUAUUGGGAAGAACACCGGUGGCGAAGGCGGCUCACUGGCCCGUAACUGACGCUCAUGCACGACAGCGUGGGGAGCAAACGGG
rnacentral:rRNA from 1 species